rnacentral:misc_RNA from 1 species
GUAGGUGAACCUGCGGAAGGAUCAUUACAGAGCUUCGAAGCCUAAGGAAAAGCAGCCGAAAGGUGAACUAUCCUUAGGAUUGAGAUCUCCACCCUUUGUUUACAUUACCUUUGUUGCUUUAGCAGGCCCGCUCUCGGGCCGCCGGCUUAGGCUGGCCAGUGCCUGCUAGAGGACCUAAAACUCUUGUUAAUAAUAUUGUCUGAGUACUAUAUAAUAGUUAAAACUUUCAACAACGGAUCUCUUGGUUCUG